AUUGAACGCUGGCGGAAUGCUUUACACAUGCAAGUCGAACGGUAGAGGGGGCAACCCCUCGAGAGUGGCGAACGGGUGAGUAAUAUAUCGGAACGUGCCCAGUCGUGGGGGAUAACGUAGCGAAAGUUACGCUAAUACCGCAUACGAUCUAAGGAUGAAAGCGGGGGAUCGCAAGACCUCGCGCGAUUGGAGUGGACGAUAUCAGAUUAGGUAGUUGGUGGGGUAAAGGCUCACCAAGCCAACGAUCUGCAGCUGGUCUGAGAGGACGACCAGCCACACUGGAACUGAGACACGGUCCAGACUCCUACGGGAGGCAGCAGUGGGGAAUUUUGGACAAUGGACGCAAGUCUGAUCCAGCCAUUCCGCGUGCAGGAUGAAGGCCCUCGGGUUGUAAACUGCUUUUGUACGGAACGAAAAGGUCUCUCUUAAUACGGGGGGCUCAUGACGGUACCGUAAGAAUAAGCACCGGCUAACUACGUGCCAGCCGCCGCCGUAA
rnacentral:rRNA from 1 species